UGUUGAUUGGGCACCCUACCCUAGCUAGCUAGCUCUUCCUUCAACUAUGCAGGGAUCAGCUAUUAAGAUGUACCAAAUAAAAAUAAGAGCAAGGCUUGCUUUUCGCAGUUUGCGUACCAUUGCCACCGAUAAAAAAGAAAAGCAAGAACAAAUCCCCGGGCAGAGGUAACUUUACAGCCUUUAUCUCAUUCAGUCCCUCCACUCUUUAAAUUCUCUUAAUAUGGUUUUUCUAGUUUUAUUUUUAUUAUUUUCAUCCCUGUACUUUUGGUCUGUUGAAAUGUAGUCCCUCUGUCACUAAUAAUGUUAUCUUACAUUAAUUCAAGUCAAAUCCUCUUAUUUUAAUCUCGAAUUAUCUGGAAAGGAAAGGCAUUAGAUCGAGGUGGAGGGAGCACAUGCUCGACGGGCCAAGAGUAGAAGGACAUGUUUUAAUAGCAGAACAGACGAUUUACUCAUUGACCCAAUCUAAUUGUAUUUUUGUUUUAUCGAAUUUACCUGUCGUGGAAUAAUUUUUCAAGACAAUAAUCAUGAAAGAAGUAUUUUUUU